rnacentral:lncRNA from 10 species
CUCCUUUGCCAAAGCCUGAGGAAGGGGUGGGGAGAAAGCAUAUUCAGUCUGCAGAACAGCACAGACUCUGGGAUAGAGGAUUUGGAGACCCCACUUCCAUCAGCAGCAACCUAUCCAAUAGGAAUUAAUUACAGAAGCUUCCCCAUGGUGCUGUCAUACAGAAACAUGUGGUAAGUCAUGAACGGACCUAAGGUGCCUGACACACAAGGAUCAUUCAGGAAAUGUCAGCUACUAUUGCCUGAAAAUGUGAACUCGGAUGUCUUCUCCCCUCUCUUCAGUCUUUUGGUCAUGAGAUUAUUGAAGCUACUGGACACUUUCCCCAGCAAAGUGUGAGGAAGCUCACUCUGAGUGCACUGACCUGCAGAGCCCGUGGGACACUGAAGGUAUUUCCUCUGAGGUCACUGACCCCCAGACUGCAUCCAGUGGUCUCACAGGCUCUUUGAUGCUGUGGUGGUCAGCAACACUCAGUCCAGACACAAGUGGAGACCGAGAGAAAACGUGGGAAGCAG